CUCUAUCUCAAACCUUCUGAGCUGCCUGCUGCUGAUCUUGGCAUUAAAAACAGAGUGGCAUUCCCCCAAAGCUUAUGAGGAAGAGAUGCAGAGAUGCAUUUCCCUGGGACCUGAGCAGCUCCUUACUGACCUCUUACAGAUGAGGUGUGUUUCUUGAAGACAACAUACAGGAAGGGAGAAUCACAGUACCCUGGAAUCAAGGACACUCGAGAUUGAAG